GGCAGUUUGAGAAGACGUCUGACCACCUGUUCGACGCGGCCUACUACGGCCAGAAGGACGUCAUCACGGGCGUGUCUGAGUGCAUCAUCAUGGGCAUGCCCACCUCGCUGGGUACCGGCCUCUUCAAGCUGCUCCAGAAGACCACCAAGGUGUCCGCGCCGCCGCAGCGCAAGCUGCUGUUCGGCUCCCCGGAGCUGCACGCGCCGGGCUUCAGCUAGCAAACUGCCACCUGUAGGCAGUGAUGGGAAGCUGGAGUUCCCAGUUCUGAUACUGCAGCGCGACGGUCGUGCUGUGUUUCUGAUGUGUGGGUGAUGAAAUCAGCGAGGGUUGGUUUGUUAUUGCGUCGGAGGAAAUACAGAUAUGUGUUUUGAAGA